UUUUCGCAAUGCCCGAAAGGGUGACGAAGCGACGCCGCGUGGGUGAGGAAGGCCUUCGGGUUGUAAAGCCCUGUCAGGAGUUAUGAAAUGUAGGUGCGCUAAUAUCGUGCUUAUUUGACAAAGGCUCCAAAGGAAGCCACGGCUAACUCUGUGCCAGCAGCCGCGGUAAUACAGAGGUGGCGAGCGUUGUUCGGAAUUAUUGGGCGUAAAGAGCACGUAGGUGGGUUUGCAAGUCAGAUGUGAAAGCCUUCUGUUCAACGGAAGAAUUGCAUCUGAAACUGCCAAUCUUGAGUGUAGGAGGGGAGAAUGGAACUUCUGGUGGAGCGGUGAAAUGCGUAGAUAUCAGAAGGAACGCCGGCGGCGAAAGCGAUUCUCUGGCCUAUUACUGACACUCAGUGUGCGAAAGCUAGGGGAGCAAACGGGAUUAGAUACCCCGGUAGUCCUAGCCGUAAACGAUGGGCACUAAGUAGAGGGGUUUUAAUC
rnacentral:rRNA from 1 species